rfam:Triticum aestivum genome assembly, contig: Triticum_aestivum_CS42_TGACv1_scaffold_162497_2DL
AAAGUACUCCCUCCGUCCCAAAAUUCUUGUCUUAGAUUUGUCUAGAUACGGAUGUAUCAAGUCACAUUUUAGUAUUAGAUACAUCUGUAUCUAGAUAAAUCUAAGACAAGAAAUUUGGGACAGAGGGAGUAGUUG